CCUACGGGUGGCAGCAGUGGGGAAUAUUGCGCAAUGGGCGAAAGCCUGACGCAGCAACGCCGCGUGAGGGAUGACGGCCUUCGGGUUGUAAACCUCUUUCAGCUCCGACGAAGCCGCAAGGUGACUGUAGGAGCAGAAGAAGCACCGGCUAACUACGUGCCAGCAGCCGCGGUAAUACGUAGGGUGCGAGCGUUGUCCGGAAUUAUUGGGCGUAAAGAGCUCGUAGGCGGUCUGUUGCGUCUGCUGUGAAAACCCGGGGCUCAACCCCGGGCCUGCAGUGGAUACGGGCAGACUAGAGUCCGGCAGGGGAGACUGGAAUUCCUGGUGUAGCGGUGAAAUGCGCAGAUAUCAGGAGGAACACCGGUGGCGAAGGCGGGUCUCUGGGCCGGAACUGACGCUGAGGAGCGAAAGCGUGGGGAGCGAACAGGAUUAGAUACCCC
rnacentral:rRNA from 1 species